AGCUUGUGUUUGGCGGCGGAGUUAUUCAGACAGCCGAAGGGGCUGGCGGGCUGACUGAAAUCCCCCGGAACCGUCACCAGGGGACUCACUGCUCUGCUGGAGGCUGCACAUGACAACUGGGAAGAGAACAGAGAAAAUGCUGUGCUCUGCUCCACCAGGAUACAAGAUUUGGGACAACUUCCAAGAACAACUCAGGCCCGACAAAGGAAACUCUCUUUCCCGGAUCAGGCCACCGCAUGCGUCACCACUACCAGAAAGGGGCUACGAAAGUGGAACGGAACCGGAGGUGGACCGCGGUCAUCCUUAACGACGGGCGAGGGACACUUGACGGGCCCUCUUGUUACCCGUUUGAUCCGUCUAAGCACGUUGCCAAGAGACCGCAAACGGCCCGUUGCGGCUGAUCACGGUAAGUAGGGAGCUUACAGUAAAUACCGACAGAAAGUACAGCUCCGCAGGCUUAUCGGGGUGUGCGGCUGCGAGCCCACAUGAGGCUUGAUCCCGAGCUGCCUGCCCGGUUGCUAGAUCCUCCCACCUCGGAGCCUGGACUCUCAGAUGCAAGACGUGAGGGGGACAAUUUAUUUUACUAGCCGAGUUGAUUGAAAUUAUUAUAGGGCGACUCGACGGAGGUUCAGAUUUUAGGGGAUUAGGGAAAGAAGAUUGUGGAAUAAACCCGCGUCCGUCAUCUGAACUCGGUCGAGUGACAAAAACACAGAGCUGAAAACUGAAACGCGACUAUCGCUAACAGAGGAGUUACGUCGGGGCACAUUUCCCAAUCCCGACAUGCUGAGACUCUUCGGUUUUGUUCCUUGAGGAUAAAUUGUGUGUUCCAACUCGACAAUCUCCAAGGUGUGGGACAGCGUGACAGCGCCAACAAGAAAUGUUCACAUUUUCCAUGACAAAUUAUGUGUAUGUUGGGGAAGCAGGAUAUUCAAUGGGCAAACAACCAAAGGGACGCCAGUUAAAAAAGAAGAAAAUAGAUAUCAAUAUCUUGCAUAAUACGGAAAUAUGAGCGGGACGACAUUAGAGCAGCAUGUUUGGACUCCGACUGAGGGCUUUUGCCGAUGGCAUGUAAUUGUUAAUGCGUCAUUGCAUUUCUGUCCAUGAAUUCAAUGUAUAUUCAUAUUUCGUCACAACUUAACUUCUUCCGUCAGGGGUUGCCACAAUAUAACAUUUCAAAUUCUAUAAGAUCUAAUGUAUAAUAUAUAUACCAGAAUCAAUCUGUGAUAUGACUGUGAAGAGUCAAAUUCACAUCUGUUCAGUCACUACCGUGAUUUCCGGCCUACUAGCCAUGACUUUUUUUUUUUUUUGCACGGUUUCAACCCUGCGGCUUAUACUGUGAUGCGGCUAAUUUGUGCAUUUUUUCCUAAUGGCUGCAAGGGGGCACUCGAGUGGAAAAGGUAAGAGUAAGCCGGUGGAAUCAAUGCGCCGAGGAAGUGACUUUUACCGGUAUGUUUUUCUUUAAACGGCCCUGUUAGCACUGCGCUAGCGUCAGCGCUUAGCUAGCGUGUUGCAGUGUCUCAGUGAUUUUUACCGGUAUGUUUUUUUUUUUUAACCGGCCCUGUUAGCGCUGCGCUAGUGUUUGUGCUGUGCUAGCGAGUUGCUAUGUCUCAGUGAUUUUUACCAGUAUGUUUUUUUUUUUUUUUUAAACCGGCCCUGUUAGUCCUGCGCUAAUGUUAGCGGUGGAAUCAACGUGGGGAGGAAGUGACUUUUACCGGUAUGUUUUCUUUAACCGGCCCUGUUAGCGCCGCGCUAGCAUUUUUCUGCUAUGUUACUGCUGCUGUGUCUCAGUGAUUUAGUUAUGUUUUUUUUUGUUUUUUUUUUUAAACCAGAUCUACCGUGCUACCGUGUUUCUACUUUGUAGCUGCCACAGUUCUUUUUAUUUUACCGGUACGUUUUUUGGUUUUUUUUUUUUAACAGCCCUGUUUGCUACCAUGUUGUUGCUAUGUUAAGAUAAGCUAAGGUAUCAAAACUUUGAAAACUCUUUCUUUGUAAAUAUCUUGCGUUUCAAUGUGGGCACAUGCGGCUUAUAGACAGGUGCGGCUUAUGUAUGUACCAAAUGGUAUUUCCUUUACAAUUGUCCUGGGUGAGGCUCAUAAUCAGGUGCGCUCUGUCGGCGGGAAAUUACGGUAUUUUAAGUCAACAUGCACUCCGAACCACUUCACACAUUUUUAAAGUUUAAAAGGCGAAUUGCGAAAUUAGCCUGCUUGCUUUCAUAUUCACACAAUGUGAGAAAAAAUGUUUUACAUAUUUUCCUCACAUCCUGCUUUGUCUAUGCCGUGGACGUUGCCUUUCCCUGCCUUGAUUGAGUCCAGAUGGGACGUAACACAAUACCAGAAGGGCACCUUCUAAAAAGAAGACCUUUGCCAAGACUAGCAACCAACUGUGACAUACAUGGGAAUCUGUAACUGAAACAACACUGGCAUUUUUUUGUUUUUUUUUUUUUUUC